AUGAGGUUCAGGUCUUACACUCCGCCGGGGGGCCGCCGGUUCAGUCGGCUGAUAAUGAUGAGGACGAAGACGACGAGGAUGGCGAUGAAGAUGAUGAUGGUGAAGGCGGCGAUGACGACGACGACGACGACGACGACGACGACGACAACGAUGAGGAGGAGGAAGAUGACGCUGAAGAAGAGGAUAUGGGCACGGAAUACCUUGUUCAACCAGUAGGUCGUGCUGAAGAUGAAGAAGAUGCUAGUGAUUUUGAACCAGAAGAGAAUGGUGAGGAUGAAGAUGUUGAGGAGGAAGAUGAUGACGGAGAUGAUGAUGACAAAGAAGGUGCUGGGAAAGUUGAGGCUCCAGCAAAGAGGAAGAGGUCGGAUAAAGAUGACUCAGAUGAUGAUGAUGGUGGAGAGGAUGAUGAGAGACCAUCCAAGCGAUAGGGCUGGGGACCCUUCUUGGUUUGAGGACUGACCAUUUAACAAAUAGGUCAAUCUCUCUAUCCCUCAAUCUUAAACCAUCUCAUCUUUGUAGAAAGAAGGAUAGGAUGCUUUUGGAUUUAUGUUUUAAAAUCCUGUAUCAUCAAGUGGCAGUACUUUUAGGAUUAUAUGUUUAAUUUGGGAAGGCAUUGUUGGGGUUUUUGGGCGGGGAGGUGGUUGUGGUGGUGUUUGAAUAACUAUUUGAAACAGUUGAUUUUAGACAUUUUGUAAGUUAUGAUCUUAGCUAAGCUGUAAACUUUGAAUACUUAAAAUCUUUAGGGUUGAUUGCAGUUUCAGAUUUCUUAGUUUGUGCCCCCUUCUCCUGUUUAUCUUUUUUAAAUCUGUGGAAUGGUUGUUGAAUCUUAUUGUUGUAUGAUUAAUUGAUUUUGUAGUACAAGGAUGAGUCUUUAUGGGCAUUUUGUGGUUUAGAUAAUUUGUUUGAAUUGAUGAUGGCUUGGCGAAAGAAAUUAACUUUCAGCCGUUGGUUUUCUCUUCCAUUUAGGAGCGGAGAGACUGAGGUGUUGAUCCUAGAAAUUAUCUUUUACAAAAUGUUCAUGUUCAGCCAAGCCCAACCAGGGGAUGGAAAUGGAUCAUUCAAUGAUGGACUGAACUUGGCAAUUAGCGCAAAGCAAUUAAUUAACGUUAUAACUACAAACGUGUCCGUCUCCGGUCGAAAGCCUUGCAUGUGGGGACCUUGUUUUGCAGUGAUGUCAUUGUGCAAAUUACUUUUUGAGCAUGAGAGAGAGUGCUUUGCUUCAUUUCACUGACCAAUGUUUUUGGUUGACUGCGGUAACAGAUGGGCGAUGGCGUUUCAAUGGGCGAGAUAAAUGGAAUUGAUAGGAUAGCGUUUCACUGUGAAAUUUCCAAGCAUCGAGAUUUAUUAUUAAUUGGGGAGCCCCCGAAAGCAUAUUCCCACACUACUUUUUGACAACAGGAAAAGCUUGUUUCUUUGUAUGGCACUAGAAAAAUGAAAAACCCAUCCAACCCAAUCUGAUUCUGACCGUACAAAGAGAUGUUGGGUGGCCUUUACCACCUCAAGACAACCACCAAAGGUUCAUUGCUCCCUCACCGUGCCUGAGGAGUUGCAUAAUUCAUUCUGAAUUGCACCUAAUAGGAAUAGAAUGCAAGGUCAAAAUAACCCCUUUCAUCAAAAGAGCAUCAGUCACUAGUUAUCAUUCGUAAUUUAUGAGCAUACUCUUUUGUUAGUACUCAUAGCUUGAAGGACAAUUUUUAUGGUUUUAA
rnacentral:misc_RNA from 1 species